UUCUUGUGUCGUCUGUUUGGCGCUAUAGUACUUCAGCCAUUUAAUGAUGCUCUCUCCACACUGGGAUAAAUAAAAACAAACACAUCACAUCUAAUGUGGACAUAUCAGAUGCCUUGUGAAACAUAAAGGAACAAUUCAGUUUCGAGCUAUGGCACUUGCCGCAUAGAUGUGGGGGGGCCUUGCACCAAUAGUGAUAGUUACCACUGCAUUUAGAAAUUGAAAGCAUUUGUGCAGACAAGGAUGAUUCUUUAUAUUUUUGGCUACCACUUCAAAUGCCUCCACCAAGUGUUACAAUGCUGCACGCAGCCAUACUAAGGAUCUCGCAACAACACCUGCAGGUAAAAAGCAGAAGCAGUCAAAGUGCUGGUGUGUUCUGGACACUAUGUUUGAAAACUUUUAGGCAAGAAGAGUGCAAGAAGCAGACAUAACUGCAUUUAUUUCCAUAAUUCCCCAUUUAAAGGGCCUUUUCUUUUUGCUUAGACAAUGCCUACGCCUAGCCACAGCAGCUCCCUCAUACAGACUCCGCAAACCAAGAGGCCGUGGAGGCAAAUGCAGGCAGCCAGCACACCUCGAACAGCCACCUUGACUGCGGGUGUGUCACCCUAGUCGCCAAGGAAACAUUUGAGGGAAAGUGACAGGCAAUGUGAAUAGCCACUCCUCCAUGUAAACAAUACUCUUUCUCUCGGAUGACUCCUACGCCUCACCACGCCAGCACACUUGUGCACAAAGAUGCCGCAGAGGCACGUGCAGGUCAGAGGCAAGAAGCAGUGGCACUGGUGUCGACAUUUACCCAAUUUCUUUUUCUUACACUGAGGCAGCCAGCACACCUCGAACAGCCACCUCGACUGCGGGUGUGUUAGUUGAUCCCUGUUGUACAUAUGCUCAUAAUAAACUUCAGUAAACUUGAACUUCAUAAUAAACUUGAAGGCAAAUGGUA